CAUGUUUAGAAGUGCUAUCUGAAAGAUAGUUCAGACGCUCUAUUUUCUUGGAAUAUAUCCAGAUUAAAUUGAAAUAAUUCAAAUCUGAAGAUAUUUAACAGAAAACAAUUCAUUUUAUUUUUCUUUUGUACAAUUUGCUGUUCCAAGGCGAAAAAAUCACACCAGACUAUUUUGUCGGCAGAAGCACACACAUCUGUGAAUGGAAUACAUCGGCUUUGUUCUUUAUGGUGAACAGACUAUAGUAGACAUCAAGAGGAACGGGGAUUGCAGUGGAACAUGGUGUCACAAAUCCACAAUGAGAGAGUGAAAAUCUGCAGACAUCAAAAGCAUACUGGUAUCUUCAAGUGCAUCCGGGAAUCAUUUUUACAUCGUUGUAGACUAUGCAAUGACAUCAGCAGCCACCACUUCCAACAAUUAUUGUUAUUAUUGUACUUUUUGUCAUUCCAUUGUGACGUUGAAACCUGCAUGUAUUUUUUGCAAUUUUCACACACUCGGUAUGGUUUGUGAC
rnacentral:lncRNA from 1 species